CCCCCCCCCCCCCCCCCCCCCCCCCCCCCCCCCCCCCCCCCCGCCACUUCCCCAGAGCCGAGGGACAGACCGAGAAUUGCAACUAGAAAUUCGAUCUAUUGGUACAAGACACCACGUGCUCUCGGGCUAGCCAAUGACCAGGCCGCCCGGGAUGAGCUAAUAAUGGAAGCAAUUUGUAACUUUCAGUAGCUCUCUAGGCCUAGGUACCGGUGGGAGGGAGGCUGGUGGAGGGGGAAACAGCACCCCCAGUUUUUCAGCCCAGCCUGUUAGUCUAGGGGGCAUUCGGACCCCCUGGCCCUCCUUUUUCCUACCAAGCAAUCUCGAGCAGGGUUCUUCGACCACUCCUGACCUACAGCGCAGCCAGGGUCGACCACUGAGGAUCUGAGUCCUCAGUGAAGAGUGCCAGUUGUCACAGAAGCCCAUUCCCUCCUGGUAGGACAGCAGAGAGCCUUCUAUCCCAACACUCCACUUCCCAGCACCCUUGCCAGGCGUGGCCAGUGGGAGCCAGAGCCCAGUAAGGUCACCCAAGCACGAGGGCACGAGGGCACGGAAAGUUCUUUGUGCCCCAUUUCUCAUGUCCUGGAUAGAUACUGAGAUGCGGCCUGGCUGGAAGCUGAAGAGGGAGUGAGUGGUCCCUAAUAGAGAGCAAAGCAACAGUGUUGAGAAGAACCCGAGUCCCCACGUGACAGACGGAGGAGAGCUGACUGAACUCGGCCUGCUGCUUCUGCUGUCAUUUCCAUGACGAAUAAACUGUGGCUGCUGCCUGAGGCCUUUUUAUUGUAA